rnacentral:misc_RNA from 1 species
CCGAGUACCGGGUCUUCGGGCCCUUACUCCCACCCUUUGUGUACCUACCAAUGUUUCGUUGCCUUGGCGGGGUCGAUCCCUGUAUCUACAGGGGGACUCGCCAGGGGAACACCACUAAACUCUCAUCAACGGUACUGUCUGAGAACAAACAAAUAAGUUA